rnacentral:hammerhead_ribozyme from 1 species
GCACUGCUGAGGAGUCCCACACUAGGACGAAACAGCCGUCCAUUGC